AUAAGAUACAAACAUAAGAUAUUUAGAUAAGAGUAAAAACGAUCAAGAUUCAAGAGAUAUUAAAGCAUGCAGGUAGCACAUAAAGUAUGUUAGUUAUAUGGUGUUGGUUAUUAUAGAUAUUCAUCAAAAAUGUCCUUUACACAAGAAAGACACAUGUUUUUGCAAGGUGGGGGUGGUAAUUCAGGACUUGUUCUAUCAAGUGAUGCAAAGCCUAGACUCAAAUGGGCACCAGACCUCCAUGAACGGUUCAUAGAGGCGGUCAACCAACUUGGUGGAGCAGAUAGUAAGUGCUCUUUCUGUUCAUUUUCUUCUAAUUAGGGUACAUGUUUUCAGAAUAGAACUUGCGUAUUUGUUCUUGUUUACUCCUUGUAUUAUCUAAUUGAACUUCUGAUAUGUACCAUCGAAAGAUUUCAAUCUGAAAGUGUCUAACAAGAUUGAGAGAGAUAUCCAGGCCGGACUAGCUAUAAAAAUAUGACCAAAUCAGCUACAGCAUCCCAACAAUAAUUUACCGAAAAUAAAUAAAAUUAUUUACAAUUGUCUCUAGGUGGUACAAAUUUCUGAAAAAUAUAAAAUUUUAAUUUAUUUUGUCGUAUUUUUGUCACAAAGGUAAUAAAUAUUGCGACAAAAUUGUUAUAAAUGUUUUUUGUAUAACAGUUUUGUCGGAAAGUUUUGGGUUUUUUUUUUGGAAAACUAUAGGAAAGUUGUACCAAAAAAUUAAAUCGUGGGAAAUUUGUUGAAAUAAAUGCAGUUUUCUAAUAGCGAAUGGGUUGAAAUGCCCCAAGAGUGUCUUUCAUGCAUAAAACCUAAAAAAUAUUUUUGUUCAAAAUAUAUGAGAUUGUUAUUGGAAUAAUAUGAUAUUUUAAAUCAUAUCCUACAUACUAACUAUUAAUUAAUUGUUUCAAGCAAACCCAACAUGCAUUUUAUUUAGUUUUACAUGUGCGACCUUUUGUAACACGGCUAAGAAACGGAUUGCAUGUAACUCUAGCUCAUAUGUCGUAACUCUAACUACAUUAUGCUAGACAAUCACAAUAUUCACCUCAUUGCCUUUGUACUCAUGUUGUAUUUGCUUAUUGUGUGUUUGACCUUGCAUAAAACAUUUAUAUUUUAAAUAUAUUGGUCCAAGCUAAUGUGAGGUUAGCCCAUUUGGUAAACACAUGGCUUUUUAGAUGGGAGGUCCUAGGCUCAAACAUGGGCAAAGGAGAUAAUUUAGAAUAAUUGGUGUAAAGUAGAGUAGAGAUAACAUUAGUCGUCAAAAAAAUAUACUUACUGGUCCAAAUAUAAUAGAUGUAUUAAGGGGAUAAUGAUAAGUAUAUUUAAAGAACAAAUAUAUAAUUCAAUCAAGAAAACAAGAAGAAAGAUCUACAUAUUUUAACUUUAUUAUAAAUGGUACGGAAUAUAUAUAAGUACAGAGACACUUGCAGCUCAAAAUAGAAGCACAAGGCAAGUACUUGCAGGCAGUUUUUGAUAAAGCACAAGAGACUGUUGGAAGGUAACACUUAGGUGAAGUGGGACUAGAAGAUCACCACAAACUUCAACUAUCAGAAUUGGUCUCUAAAGUAACAAAUUUUCCAGGAAUGAAAUAUUUAUCAGACCAACCAACCAAUUUUUCAAUUGACAGUUGUUUGACCUAUUGUGGAGGCAAACAAAUGGAUCAAGAGAUGAUGGGUUUGAACUAUUUAGGUGGUGCUAGCAAUGCGCCUUUGGAGUCGAAUGAAGAAUAAAUGUGAGCCAGAAAACGCAUGCGAUUUGAAUAUGGAAAUAUCACAAAAGUUUUGGUUGUCAAAUCUUGAACAAAAGCUAGACCUAAAUGCCCAUGAUGAGUAUGAUCCUGCUUCUAGAAAGAAAUUUGAUUUGAAUUGAGUUAGCUGGUGAUUUUAUUUACAACACUUUGUUUUUUGUAUUCUUAAAAAUGUAUUCCACUUGAAAAUAUAAAAAGCCAAUUAUUCUAA